AAAUACAAUGGAAGUCAGUAGUUACAGGUUUUCAGCUUUUAUCAUAAUAUCUGUAUUUGUGUUCAACAUAUCUUAAUAUUUGGGUGUAUUAUUUUAUCUAAUGUUUAUUUUAUUUAAUCUUGUUCUCUAUGAACUUAAUGUAUUUGACUAAAUAAAAUUAAUAAUAAUAUUUACAUUUUUUGUUCUGUUGCUUUCAUUCCAUUUAUUGUUCAUAUUUUUAAAAUACUUUGGAUACAAACAUCUAUCCAAUAGUUUGUAAAUGUAAGUAUUAGAUGUACCUAAUGAAAUAAAAUAAAAUAAAAAUGCAAUACAUAAUUACAAAUACUUACUGUGGAUUAAUGAUGUUCAAACUAAAACAAUGUUUAUUAAGACAUUAAUGAUAUACAGUAUGACAUGUCAUUAUUAUCAGCAAUGAGGGGUCGGCAGCAGCGCACUCCGUUGGUUUGCAGUUAAUUCAAGCGGAUCUAUACCCUGUAUGUAAGUCAGUUUUUCAAAAUUACGAUCCCUGGCAUGUUUGUUUAGUUUAUUGCGGUGCCGCGUGCUCUCGAUUUUCUUGUAUUUCUCCAGAUUGACCUUGUUAUGGCAUGUAUCUCUCUUGCGUUAUGUGUCUCUCUCAAGUUGUCAAGCGAAGCGAUACCACAAAAAUGGCGCCGGUGUGACGUCACGCACAACAACCGCACGUGACUGACAAAGACCGAUAGUGGAGGAACCCUUUCUGCUUACCUGGUGAUGCUGACCGGCCGAGAGGAGCAGGAGAGAACACACGGACAGGUGAACCACUGAGCAAACACUGGAGGAGAAACACACAGAGAGGCUGUGAUUGCGGUGCAGGUCAGUGUAAUCCUGCAGAGUGUACCUGCGGUGGAGUGUGAUGCUGAGCAUGGAAACCCUACAGAUGUAGAAAUCCUGCUUCAGCUUGCUCUCCUCGCUUCAUUUAACAGUAGUGGU